rnacentral:rRNA from 1 species
CCUACGGGCGGCUGCAGUAAGGAAUAUUGGUCAAUGGACGAAAGUCUGAACCAGCCAUGCCGCGUGGAGGAUGAAGGUCCUCUGGAUUGUGAACUUCUUUUAUAUGGGACGAAAAAAGGCCUUUCUAGGCCGUCUGACGGUACCAUAUGAAUAAGCACCGGCUAACUCCGUGCCAGCAGCCGCGGUAAUACGGAGGGUGCAAGCGUUAUCCGGAUUCACUGGGGUGAAGGGGUGUGUAGAAGUCUGGAUAGAAAUCUCCGAACUUAUCUUUGAAACUGCCAUUGAUACUAUUAAUCUUGAAUAUUGUGGAGGUUAGCGGAAUAUGUCAUGUAGCGGUGAAAUGCUUAGAUAUGACAUAGAACACCAAUUGCGAAGGCAGCUGGCUACACAUAUAUUGACACUGAGGCACGAAAGCGUGGGGAUCAAACAGGAUUAGAUACCCCAGUAGUC